rnacentral:misc_RNA from 1 species
AAGUCGUAACAAGGUUUCCGUAGGUGAACCUGCGGAAGGAUCAUUAACACGUUAUCCAUACGUUACCAAAGUGUACUGUUUUCACCCUCCCUUGGCGGAGAAUGAGCGGAAAUUGUAGUGUUAUUGAGGGGGGCUUGAAUUAUCGCCAGCCACUACAAUCUAUUUAUGCAACAAUUUAACUAUUUUGCAUUAACGCUGUAUCUUUUGUCAAGGUUAUUCUGCACAGCUUUCUCCUUUCAGAUAAUGGCUGUGUGGGAAACUUAUUUAACUUAUUUCACCCUUUUUGCUAGUUGACUUUUAUAUGUUGUUCUUUGCGUUUCGGCGUAAGGUUCACACGUUUAAUUAUUUGAACGUUAAAAUUACAACUCUUAGCAAUGGAUAUCUUGGUUCUC